rnacentral:rRNA from 1 species
CAGGACGAACGCUGGCGGCGUAGCUUAACACAUGCAAGUCGAACGAGAAUCUGUGGAUUAGAGGUUUCGGCCAAUUGAAGCAGAGGAAAGUGGCGGACGGGUGAGUAACGCGUGAGGAACCUGCCUUUCAGAGGGGGACAACAGUUGGAAACGACUGCUAAUACCGCAUGAUGCAGUAGAGGUCGCAUGGCCUUUAUGCCAAAGAUUUAUCGCUGAAAGAUGGCCUCGCGUCUGAUUAGCUAGUUGGUGAGGUAACGGCCCACCAAGGCGACGAUCAGUAGCCGGACUGAGAGGUUGAACGGCCACAUUGGGACUGAGAUACGGCCCAGACUCCUACGGGAGGCAGCAGUGGGGAAUAUUGGGCAAUGGGCGCAAAGCCUGACCCAGCAACGCCGCGUGAAGGAAGAAGGCUUUCGGGUUGUAAACUUCUUUUGUUGGGGACGAGUAGAAGACGGUACCUGACGAAUAAGCCACGGCUAACUACGUGCCAGCAGCAGC